rnacentral:tRNA from 1 species
GGCCGGUUAGCUCAGUUGGUUGAGCUUGGUACUGAUAACACCAGGGUCACGGGUUCGAUCCCUGCAUGUGUUG